CGCGUAGGCGGGUGAUCAAGUCUGUGGUGAAAUCCUCUCGUUCAACGAGAGAACUGCCCUGGAUACUGAUCAUCUUGAGGAAGAUAGGGUGUGUGGAACGGGUGGUGGAGCGGUGAAAUGCGUUGAUAUCAUCCGGAACUCCGGUGGCGAAGGCGACACACUAGGUCUUUUCUGACGCUGAGGCGCGAAAGCUAGGGAGCAAACG
rnacentral:rRNA from 1 species